GAAAUGCGAUAAGUAGUGUGAAUUGCAGAAUUCAGUGAAUCAUCGAAUCUUUGAACGCACAUUGCGCCCCUUGGUAUUCCAUGGGGCAUGCCUGUUCGAGCGUCAUCUACACCCUCAAGCUCUGCUUGGUGUUGGGCGUCUGUCCCGCCUACGUGCGCGGACUCGCCCCAAAUUCAUUGGCAGCGGUCCUUGCCUCCUCUCGCGCAGCACAUUGCGCUUCUCGAGGUGCGCGGCCCGCGUACACGAAGCAACAUUACCGUCUUUGACCUCGGAUCAGGUAGGGAUACCCGCUGAACUUAAGC
rnacentral:misc_RNA from 1 species